GGGUGCGAUCACACCAGCACUAAUGCACCGGAUCCCAUCAGAACUCUGCAGUUAAACGUGUUUGUGUGAGAAUAGUACUAGGAUGAGUGACCUCCCAGAAAGUCCUUGUGUUGCACCCC
rnacentral:rRNA from 2 species